AUGGCUAGACGAGGGCUUAACUGUCUCCCCCCUCCAGUCAGUGAAAUUGAUCUAUCCGUGCAGAAGCGGGUAUAAUUAUACAAGACGAGAAGACCCUUUGGAGCUUAAGGUACAAAAUUCAGCCAUGUUAAACAACUCCGUAGAAAGCAAGAACUUAAUGGCCAUGAAAUUUUACCUUCGGUUGGGGCGACCGCGGAGGAAAAGCAAGCCUCCGAGUGGACUGGGCCAAGACCCCUAAAGCCAAAAGAAACAUCUUUAAGCCGCAGAACAUCUGACCAACAAUGAUCCGACUAAAAAGCCGAUCAACGGACCAAGUUACCCUAGGGAUAACAGCGCAAUCCUCUCCCAGAGCCCAUAUCGACGAGGGGGUUUACGACCUCGAUGUUGGAUCAGGACAUCCUGAUGGUGCAGCCGCUAUCAAGGGUUC
rnacentral:rRNA from 1 species